rnacentral:lncRNA from 1 species
GAUUAUUGAAUUUGAAAACUUAGAUGGUGUUUGGUUCAUAGAACGGUAGCGUAAAUGUAAAUGGAAUGAGAUUGCGGUGUUUUCAACUACGGAAUGGCAAUUACACUCUUUCUUUGAUUCAAAUAUGGUAACGCAAUCAGAUAAUAUGUUUUCUGAUUACAGAGGGGAAGGGGUACGGUGAUAACAAGCUUGUAUUGUGGUGGGAUUUGAUUGCGGCGUUAAGCAAUUACUGACCGGUGUAAACAAACAGCUGUAACAUAAUUCAUUAGAAUCCGUAAUCCGCUUGCAUUACAUUUUGCCCAACCAAACACCACCUUAAUCACUGCUCAUUACUAAGAUAAGUAAGCUUUGACCCCAUUGUUCGUUUGUUUGAAAGAACUGACCCAGUAGCUUUUUGGGUUGGCUUCACCCCGACUCAAUAUAAAAGCGGGCGCGGAAAGGAUCAAUGCAAAUCAACCAUGGCUCACGAUUGCCACAGGC